UCUUCCUCCACGGUCCAUCCCUUCAAUCAAAUGCUUUUCUAUGAGAAGCAUUUAAUUGGCCCUUGCAAGGGAGACUGAUGACAACAUGGGUGUGGAAACCAGCCCGGGAGCUUAGCCCGGCACUCGAUUCCAGGUACUCGUGUAUAUAUAGCUUCUUAUACUCUAUAAACGAGAUUAAUUGGUUGUCUGCAUUGACCCUCUAUGUACCUAGUUGCUUGUAAUUUGUUCAACUUUAAAUUGACCGUUUAUAGAGAGGAGCACACUGAAACUGAAUAAUACAUCUUCAAAGUGUUUUGUUUUGUUUCUGUCAGCUUAUAAAAGGACACUAUAGGCACCAAAACAACUUUAGCUUAAUGAAACAGUUUUGGUGUAUAGUCCAUGCCCCUCCAGUCUUACUGCUCAAUUCUCUGCAAUUUCAGCGUAAAAUCACUCUAUUUGUACAAUCCUAGCUUCACCUCUCCUGAUUGUGACUGACACCGCCUACAUGAAAACAAAAUGGUUUUUAUUUGCAUCCAGAUGUUAACCUUUUUAAAAAAAAAUAUUUAACAUCUAAAUGAAAAUGUAACUUUUUUGUUUUCAUGCAGGCUGUGUCAGUCACAGCCAGGGUAGGUGUAGCUGGGGUUGCAUAGCCAGGGUAGGUGUAACUGGGGUUGCAUAGACAGAAGCAAAAAUGAGUUAACUCCUAUAUGGCAGUCAAUUAAUCAGUGAAACAUCCGAGACACGAUCUAUACACCAAAACUGCUUCAGUAAGCUAAAGUUGUUUGGUGAAUAUGAUGUCCCUUUAAAUGCAGGGAAAUACAACUUAUGUAACAGAAAGGCAUACUCAUGUGCACUUGUUUUGAAACAAACACAUAGUGUGUGGUAGUACCCUCAAAUGUAUACAAUUUUUCACUGGACACGGAAGAACCUUUGCAUAGCAAUUGCUUGUUCCUAGCAGUUACUGGGUUGCAGGGCACUCUGCUGAUUGGCUGACUGAAAUAUCUAGAUAUUCACACCACGAGGUGACCAUUUUAGGCAGGGCUGUGAAAUGGUUAUUAGAUUUAAUGUAGUCUGGGUUGUUCAUAGCUUGCUCUUUCCAUCUAUUCUACAAGAGUGUUAUAAAUCGAUAUUGAAAGAUCAUGUUCCUUAGACUUUAGAGCUAUCAUUGCCUGAAUUGAGUAUUAGUUAGAUUUUUUUUAUUUUUACAUAUAUAUUUUGAAAGCCUCUUGCUGUUCCUUGAUAGGCCAGCAGAAGUUUAUAUAUCAAUAUAUAAGCCUCUGUGGUGGUAGACAAAAACGGAAGUAACUAAUGACAAAUCUACUUUAUGCAGUAAUACAGGUUGGAUUUUUAUCUGAACAUUAUUGAUGUUCCCAUUUAACUUGUUCUUCAAAAACUGCUAUGUCCGUGUCUACCAUGUGUCUUAGUCCUUUUUUUUUUUCCUAUACGCUCUGCUCUAGACUGAGUGUGCUUCAUGCCAAUCUUAUUUCCAGUUGAAGACCCAAUACAUUGAUUUCACUUUCUUUAGUUCCCCAUUGAUUAUUUUAUUGCGUUUAUUUACUUUCCUUACGAGUGUGACCCCAGAAGGGAAUUUUCUAUGUUGGUCAUCAGAAUGGUUAUCGGGCUGUGAAUGACCUUUUUAAGAUUUGGACAUUUCCAGUCGCUGUGUUUAUAUACUGAGACCAUCAAAAUUUAAUUUAUUUCAUUUAAAAUGAUAGGAACUAAUUCUAUUCUUCCACGAUGACUUGCAAUUAGAAAUUAACACUGAUCAUAAAUAAUGUAUAUAACUGAAAAGCCAGACUUUCCCGAUGUCACUGCCUAUAAAUUAGAUUUCUAUACAUAUAUAAAUAUAUACAAUGUAUAAUAUUGUUUAUGAACACAUAUAAAUAUAUACUGCGUUUACAUACAUGUACCAUGUGAGAUUGGUUACUUUCGUGUGUAAUCUCAAUAAAGAAUUACAAUUGAAACUUA